UACGUAGGAGACGAGCGUUGUCCGGAGUUACUGGGCGUAAAGGGUGCGCAGGCGGCCCGGCAAGUUUGCGGUGAAAGCUCCUGGCUUACCUGGGAGAGGGCCGUGAAGACUGGCGGGCUUGAGGCUGGGAGAGGGACGCGGAAUUCCGGGUGGAGCGGUGAAAUGCGUAGAGAUCCGGAAGAACACCAACGGCGAAGGCAGCGUCCUGGCCCACGCCUGACGCUCAGGCACGAAAGCGCGGGGAG
rnacentral:rRNA from 1 species